rnacentral:rRNA from 1 species
UACAUGCAAGUCGAACGCGCAGCGAAAGGUGCUUGCACCUUUCAAGCGAGUGGCGAACGGGUGAGUAACACGUGGAUAACCUGCCUCAAGGCUGGGGAUAACAUUUGGAAACAGAUGCUAAUACCGAAUAAAACUUAGUAUCGCAUGAUACAAAGUUAAAAGGCGCUACGGCGUCACCUAGAGAUGGAUCCGCGGUGCAUUAGUUAGUUGGUGGGGUAAAGGCUUACCAAGACGAUGAUGCAUAGCCGAGUUGAGAGACUGAUCGGCCACAUUGGGACUGAGACACGGCCCAAACUCCUACGGGAGGCUGCAGUAGGGAAUCUUCCACAAUGGGCGCAAGCCUGAUGGAGCAACGCCGCGUGUGUGAUGAAGGCUUUCGGGUCGUAAAGCACUGUUGUAUGGGAAGAAAUGCUAAAAUAGGGAAUGAUUUUAGUUUGACGGUACCAUACCAGAAAGGGACGGCUAAAUACGUGCCAGCAGCCGCGGUAAUACGUAUGUCCCGAGCGUUAUCCGGAUUUAUUGGGCGUAAAGCGAGCGCAGACGGUUGAUUAAGUCUGAUGUGAAAGCCCGGAGCUCAACUCCGGAAUGGCAUUGGAAACUGGUUAACUUGAGUGUUGUAGAGGUAAGUGGAACUCCAUGUGUAGCGGUGGAAUGCGUAGAUAUAUGGAAGAACACCAGUGGCGAAGGCGGCUUACUGGACAACAACUGACGUUGAGGCUCGAAAGUGUGGGUAGCAAACAGGAUUAGAUACCCUGGUAGUCCACACCGUAAACGAUGAAUACUAGGUGUUAGGAGGUUUCCGCCUCUUAGUGCCGAAGCUAACGCAUUAAGUAUUCCGCCUGGGGAGUACGACCGCAAGGUUGAAACUCAAAGGAAUUGACGGGGACCCGCACAAGCGGUGGAGCAUGUGGUUUAAUUCGAAGCAACGCGAAGAACCUUACCAGGUCUUGACAUCCUUUGAAGCUUUUAGAGAUAGAAGUGUUCUCUUCGGAGACAAAGUGACAGGUGGUGCAUGGUCGUCGUCAGCUCGUGUCGUGAGAUGUUGGGUUAAGUCCCGCAACGAGCGCAACCCUUAUUGUUAGUUGCCAGCAUUCAGUUGGGCACUCUAGCGAGACUGCCGGUGACAAACCGGAGGAAGGCGGGGACGACGUCAGAUCAUCAUGCCCCUUAUGACCUGGGCUACACACGUGCUACAAUGGCGUAUACAACGAGUUGCCAACCUGCGAAGGUGAGCUAAUCUCUUAAAGUACGUCUCAGUUCGGACUGCAGUCUGCAACUCGACUGCACGAAGUCGGAAUCGCUAGUAAUCGCGGAUCAGCACGCCGCGGUGAAUACGUUCCCGGGUCUUGUACACACCGCCCGUCACACCAUGGGGAGUUUGUAAUGCCCAAAGCCGGUGGCCUAACCUUCGGGAGGGAG